CCUACGGGUGGCUGCAGUGGGGAAUAUUGCACAAUGGGGGAAACCCUGAUGCAGCGACGCCGCGUGAGUGAAGAAGUAUUUCGGUAUGUAAAGCUCUAUCAGCAGGGAAGAAAAUGACGGUACCUGAGUAAGAAGCCCCGGCUAACGACGUGCCAGCAGCCGCGGUAAUACGUAGGGGGCAAGCGUUAUCCGGAUUUACUUGGGGAAAAGGGAGCGUAGACGGCAGCACAAGUCUGGAGUGAAAUGCCGGGGCUGAACCCCGGAACUGCUUUUGAAACUGUGCAGCUAGAGUGCAGGAGAGGUAAGUGGAAUUCCUCGUGUAGCGGUGAACUGCGUAGAUAUUAGGCGGAACCCCAGUGGCGAAGGCGGCUUACUGGACUGUACCUGCCGUUGAGGCUCGACAGCGUGGGGAGCAAACAGGAUUAGCUACCCCAGUAGUC
rnacentral:rRNA from 1 species